AAGAGAGUGGCGGCUUAGAAUCCACCUGCCCAUAUGGGCGUCAAGGUUGGUGGAGGAGCCAGUGACGCAACCAGCCAUCUUACUU
rnacentral:ncRNA from 22 species